rnacentral:rRNA from 1 species
AUUGAACGCUGGCGGCAGGCCUAACACAUGCAAGUCGAGCGGAUGAAGGGAGCUUGCUCCUGGAUUCAGCGGCGGACGGGUGAGUAAUGCCUAGGAAUCUGCCUGGUAGUGGGGGAUAACGUCCGGAAACGGGCGCUAAUACCGCAUACGUCCUGAGGGAGAAAGUGGGGGAUCUUCGGACCUCACGCUAUCAGAUGAGCCUAGGUCGGAUUAGCUAGUUGGUGGGGUAAAGGCCUACCAAGGCGACGAUCCGUAACUGGUCUGAGAGGAUGAUCAGUCACACUGGAACUGAGACACGGUCCAGACUCCUACGGGAGGCAGCAGUGGGGAAUAUUGGACAAUGGGCGAAAGCCUGAUCCAGCCAUGCCGCGUGGGUGAAGAAGGUCUUCGGAUUGUAAAGCACUUUAAGUUGGGAGGAAGGGCAGUAAGUUAAUACCUUGCUGUUUUGACGUGACCAACAGAAUAAGCACCGGCUAACUUCGU